rnacentral:lncRNA from 1 species
GGAAAAUAAUUAUUCUCAUAAAAUACUGGUUAAAGGUAAGAACUACACUUAUGGGAAGGAUAGCAUUAAGGAAGUGUAGUAGUAUAGGUCUAAUUACUUGGAAAUAUCCAUGCAUACUAAACAAAAGAGAUCCCAGCAGAACAUUACUCAAGAUCAACGAUGUCACAUGUUAUCCAAAUAAUUACAUAAUACUUACAUUAUUAACUCAGUGGAAGCAUGUAAGUAAUAACUAGUGCAUUCAAUCCUUAUUAAAUAUCCAAACAUACAGUAUAUUCACAUAAAUAUAGAAAUGCUCUAAGCCAGGCAGUGUUAUCCUUGGGAUGUUUGUUAAUUACAUAUGCCUGAAAAAGUCUUGCAGGCUCAAAUAAGUUUGCCUAACUCAACUUAUUAACCUCACUUUAAGAAAUUUCCCUAAGUGUAGUAGUUAAGGCACUGAGAGAUCCUGUGCAAUGUGUUAAUGACUUUGCUCUCAUUUCCCCAAACUUAUUUAACCACAGAACUCUUUUUCACAACACGCCCAUUAACAUCUUUCAAAACUAUCAUUCUUGGUACAAUUUGGAAGAUGCUGCACUAAGGCAACAAAAGUCUCAAAGUAAAGUAUCAGUGCAAAAAAGAAUUCAAGUAAUGUCAACCUGCACUUCUCACCAACUAUAAAGAGGAGAAAAGAAACAUUUAGGGAAUAUGCUAGAGAAGGGGUUCUCCAAGAUUGGCGAGAUCUGACUGUGAUGGCUGCAGACGACACACAUAGGAGAAUCUGAAGAAAACUUGGAAGUUAUGGGACAACCAUUUUGGCCAUGUGCACACCAAAACAAGGAAAGCUGGUCUUCAGAGAGUCAAAAGUCAAACAAAUGCAGACAGAAGAAAGGAAUGAAAAACAUGGCUGUAAGCCCCAGCUGCACUUGAUUUCCAUCUAAGUUAGUCUAACAUUCUUAAAUUUUUUUUGCUUUGGCUGGUUUAAAAUGAGUUUCAGUUACUUGCAACCAAAAACACCUUAGAAGACAGUCACAUGCAGAUAUCAGGCAAGUACUGCUCUGCAUAUAAGGAAGGAAAUGACCUUCAAAGCAUCUGCACCAGCCAGACACAAGGCCAGGGUAACUGGCCUGCCUACUGGAAGCAGCAGGGCGUGACAGGUAUCAGGAAUCUUUGGUUUUGGUCUUAGCUCUGCUAAUAAUUCUCAAUGUGACUUGACCAAUUGGUCUUUUUAUUUUUCUGGCCUGGUUUCCUCAUUUAUAUAGUAAGAUUAAAGGUUUCCAACAGGACUCAAAAGAUAAUUAUUAGGACCAAUGCUAACAGAUCACUUUCUGUACAUGUAAACUAAAGCAUGUUUCUUUUACAUAUGAUUAGAGUUCUGCCCACUGAAUAUGAUAAUCAUAAAACAGCAAUCCGCCCAAGCCAAAAAUUGGUCAUCCUCAACACCUCUUCCAUCUAAUGAGAAACUGAGUACUACCCCUUCUGUGUCCCUCUACUAUAUCCACUGUCACACUUUCCCCAGCCUUUGUCAUCUCUUAGCUAAACUAUUCUAACAGCUUCCUAGCUUAUCUCCCUUUCUGUGGUCUCUUCCACACUGCUACCAAAGUGAACUUUCUAGCACACACAAAUUGGCCCACUCUUCUUUAGGGGAAGCAGUUUCCUAAGUAAUGAGAGGUUUCAUUGUCUUCCACAUGCUCAACAUUUACUCUUUGACCUCAGUCCAAUUCUGAGACCUAUGAUGACAACUCCAUUUCAGAGUUAAAGUGCUUCAUUCCUCUUCUAAAUUUCCAGACACAACUACAUACAGGGUAACAAUUACUGCUGCAGAUGUAAAUACAAAGUGCUAUGUUGUAGUUACUACAACACAGAGACUUUAAAGUCAGCCCCCAGCGAAUCACACCUCCAGUAUCCAUGCCCUUGAGUAAACCCAUCCCACAAUGAGCCUGGGCUUUUUCCAACUCUAACCGAGAGAAUGAGGCAAAAAUGACUGUCAGUUCACAACCUACACUUUAAGAAGGCUUCUUUUGCCCUUUUUUUUUCUUUAGCCCUGGCCAGCCAUUUAAGAAGUCCACCUGCCUUGCUAGAGAAAUCAUGUGGAAAUGUCACAUGGGGGGAUACAAGCCCCCCAAGCUUCCUGAAAAUUCAUGGAGAGAAAGGCGCAGCCUCUCAGCCACCCCUUCCAAGAUACCAAGGAGCCAUUUUGGAUGUGUCAACCCUUGUCGGGCCCCAGAUGACUGAAGACUCAGCUGAUAUGUGGAACAGAACCUUCAGCUGAGUCCAGUCAAUCCAAAGAAUCAUGAGAAUUAAUAAAAUGAUUAUUAUUUUAAGGCACUAAGUUUUGGGGUACUUACAUGGCAACGGAUGACUGAAACAUGUCCCACUUAUGAGCUCCUUGAAAGCAGAGAGAAUGUUAAUCUAUCUCAUAGGAAAAUUAUUUGAAAGACACCAUGUGAUUGUAGUCUUUUAAAACAAUUUUUUUAAAACCUCAUACUAGGUUGAAUAGUGUCCCUCCAAAAUUCAUGUCCAUGCAGAAUGUGACCUUUAGAUGAGGUCAUACUGGGUUAGGGUAGGCCAUAAAUUCAAUGACUGGUGUCUUUCUAAGAGGCCAUGUAAAGACAGACAAGGAGGUAAGAAGGCCACGUGACAACAGAAGCAGAGACUGGAAUGAUACAGCCACAAGCCAAGAAAUACCAAGGAUUGCUGGGAGCUACGAGAAGCUUGUAAAGAGGAGUCCCUUUCACAUCCUACAGCCUUCAGAGGAAGCAGGGUCCUGUUGACACCCUGGUUUUAGACUUCUGGCCUCCAGAACUAAAAAUAAAUUUGUAUUGCUUUAAGCCAUUAUAAUUUGUGAUAAUUUGUUAUGGCAGCCUAAGCAACUAAUACAAACCUUUCAUUAGUUUCACUAACAAAACCCUUUGGUGGGCAAAUCAUAAUAAGGUUCCCUAGUGGCUGAUAACAACAGGCUGAAAGCCACUGAUAAGAAUCAUCUCAUGCUCCUCUCUGUUCUAAUUUAAUUACUUUAUAAUAAUUAUGGAUAAUUAUAUGUUAUGUUCACAAAGUGCUCCAUACAUUAUUGUUAUUCAUUUACCCUCCCAAAAUUAACAAACAAUUAUAGUUUCUCCCAGGUUAAGACCAAAUAUGUCAGUUUAAUCAAUUUGCCUGUGUGAAUGGAAUGGAAAUGCAAUUUUAAUUUCAGCACUUUGUAUUCCACAGACUGCUGCCUGAAGGCUUUCUAAGCUAUUAUCUGAAUACCUCCAAAACUCUUUCUUUCAGCACUCUUCCCUCAGGUUCUGUGACUACCCCACUGCAAACUUGGCC